rnacentral:lncRNA from 1 species
UAUAGAACUAAAGUGGUUAAGUCAUUUGCCUCUUGGGGACUUGAAUUUCUCGUCUCUAAAAUAGCAGGGUUGGAGUAGAUGGCCCCUAAGGGACCACGAGACUCUAAAUCUGUCAUCAUAGGAUUUGCCAUGGAUAUGUCACUGUGGCCUGGAGGUGACCCUGAAGGCUGGAGAAAUGGAAAUCAGUGCUCCUGGAGGAUCCUUGCUUUGCCCAUGAUUACAUUGAUAGUAGAUGGAAGAGUCAAGAUUCAAACCCAGGUCUUUGCUGACACCAUAUUUAGCGCUUCUCCUUUCCCCAUACUCACAUACUACAUCACACUGCAAAAAUAACAGGCAGAUAGAUUUUGGUUCAAAAUAAGGUCUGAUCUCUAAACAAUUUGAACUAUGCAGUAGAAUAUUCCCAAUGCAAUUGGAAAUUCCCAAUGCAAUAAGAUGCCUAUGAAGAGAGGGAGAUGCCUGCUACUGGAGGUAUUUGAACACAAAGUAGAUAACUCCUCAUUGAAGACCUUGUAGAGGGGGUUCAAAAUUCAGGUUAAAAUUGACCUACAACUUUAAAGUUCAUUUCAGGUCUCUAAGGGUCCAGGAAUCUUAGUCUCACCCUCCUUCUUGACCUAUGAACCAACAACCCUGAAACUUUAUACGUUCCAUAAGAAAAUUAACUUAAGAGGACAUACAUGUUUACCUAGCUACAAAAUCAUUCACUAGUAGGACAAGUGCUGGACUUAGAAAUCACUUAAGUCUCCUUUUUCUAGGGGAAGCUUAUCUUUUUUUGCCCUGAUGUCACAAAAUUAGAGAUUGCUUAUUUUAUGCCAGAAGCUUCUCUUUUAUUUCCAAAAGUUUAAUAUAGGAAGAUUCUUGAUUUCUGAAGACCAGUCUAGAGAACCAAAGGAAGCAAUGGUCACGAUCUGCGUGCUGAUUACUCCCCUAAUUUAAUCUAAUGAUCUAUACUUUUGGCCUUCAAGCAAAUCAACAAAUUCAUGCAGCAAGAUAAUUGUGGCUUGGGCUGCUACAGAAAUUGCUAAACCCAGAGGACGUAUCAGAACUUUGAACCUUUAUCUCCUCUAUGAGACUUCUCCCUUCUUUGCUUAUUAUUUCCAUCUUUAUUCAUGAACCACUUGACUAAGCCUGGUAGUGUAAGAUAAACCUGUGUGAAUAUUUGCAAUCAGAAAUGUAAGAUACAGGAACUCUUCUUACUCUGUUGGACUGAUUAAAAAUUUGCUUUGGUCAAGAACUCAGCCAGUACCUUCUGAGGGGCCCUUGAAAUUUCAGGCAGUGAGUUAUGUUCUUUGUGGAGUUAGACUUGCCAUUGAUGCAGUAGUUUGGAUCAACUCUUGUGCCUUUGUGUGACCUUGAGAGAUGACUUACAUGUUCAGUUUUGACUUUGACUCAUGCUCUUCCAAGUUCUAGCUUCAUUCUUUCAGAAACUAUUAUUUGAGGAGUGGUUUGAGAUUUUGUGAAAAAUAUUCCUGAGGGAUCUUAGCUUAUCUGAGAAUGUUUUCUGUCUUGUUGUUCCUUCAUCCAUUAGAAUGUAAGCUUUCUGUGAAUAAGGAGUAUUUCAUUCUUUGUGCUUAUUUCCUCAACCCAAUACCUAGCACAUAGUAGGUACUUAAUAAAGAAAAAAAAUGAUUAAUCUCA